rnacentral:lncRNA from 10 species
AUUAGAAUCGGGGUGACUGGAUGGGCCCCAGGAGAGGGCUCUGGUGGUUCUGAACUAGGAACACGCAGCCUGGCACUGCAGGGCGUGCACCUUGCAGCUUGACGUGCGGAGCUCCCAGGUCUUUUUCCAGCCUUCGGGGCCAUGUUUCUCGGCCAGUGUCCAGAUGCCAGCUGUCCUCACUGGGUGCUCUCCCACAUCUCUUUUGGGUGGCACUUUCCUUGUGUCUCUGAUCCUAGUACUUUCUGCUCAUUUGGGCCUUCUUGGGGCUGCGUCCUUACUAGCGUACACAGUGCGGGGUAGAGGGUCAGAGGCAGGACGAGGGUGCACAGUGCGGGGUGGGGGGUCAGAGGCAGGAGGAGGGUGCACAGUGCGGGGUGGGGGUCAGAGGCAGGAGGAGGGUGCACGGUGUGGGGGAUGGCCGUGUCUGGGAGGUUAGUUGUCCUGGGGGCGUGGAUCAGUGGGUUGAGGAUGGCUUCAUCACGGACAGUGGCACAAUGCUGCAAUGAGUUAUAUGAAGUUGUGGC